GACGAACGCUGGCGGCGUGCUUAACACAUGCAAGUCGAACGGUGAAGGGGUCUGCUUUUGUGGGCCCUGGAUGAGUGGCGAACGGGUGAGUAACACGUGAGUAACCUGCCCCCUUCUUCUGGAUAACCGCAUGAAAGUGUGGCUAAUACGGGAUAUUCUGGGUCUGUCGCAUGAUGGGUCUGGGAAAGAUUGCGCCUUUGGGUGUUUUUGGUGGGGGAUGGGCUCGCGGCCUAUCAGCUUGUUGGUGGGGUGAUGGCCUACCAAGGCGGUGACGGGUAGCCGGCCGGAGAGGGUGGACGGUCACACUGGGACUGAGACACGGCCCAGACUCCUACGGGAGGCAGCAGUGGGGAAUAUUGCACAAUGGGCGCAAGCCUGAUGCAGCGACGCCGCGUGAGGGAUGGAGGCCUUCGGGUUGUAAACCUCUUUCGCCAGUGAAGCAGGCCUGCUCCUUGUGGGUGGGUUGACGGUAGCUGGAUAAGAAGCGCCGGCUAACUACGUG
rnacentral:rRNA from 1 species